GGGCCCGCACAAGCGGAGGAACAUGUGGUUUAAUUCGAUGAUACGCGAGGAACCUUACCUGGGUUUGAACGCAUUACGACUGGUGCCGAAAGGUAUCUUCCCUUCGGGGCGUUUUGCGAGGUGCUGCAUGGUUGUCGUCAGCUCGUGCCGUGAGGUGUCGGAUUAAGUUCCAUAACGAGCGCAACCCUUAUCAUUAGUUGCCAUCGGGUAAUGCCGGGGACUCUAAUGAAACUGCCGGUGUAAACCGUGAGGAAGGUGGGGAUGACGUCAAAUCAGCACGGCCCUUACAUCCAGGGCUACACACGUGUUACAAUGGCCAGUACAAAGGGCAGCUACACCGCGAGGUGAUGCUAAUCUCUAAAACUGGUCUCAGUUCGGAUCGAAGUCUGCAACUCGACUUCGUGAAGCUGGAUUCGCUAGUAAUCGCGCAUCAGCCAUGGCGCGGUGAAUACGUUCCCGGGCCUU
rnacentral:rRNA from 1 species